rnacentral:rRNA from 1 species
UGUUUCGGCUAGGGGGUCAUCCCGACUUACCAACCCGAUGCAAACUACGAAUACCGAAGAAUGUUAUCACGGGAGACACACGGCGGGUGCUAACGUCCGUCGUGAAGAGGGAAACAACCCAGACCGCCAGCUAAGGUCCCAAAGUCAUGGUUAAGUGGGAAACGAUGUGGGAAGGCACAGACAGCCAGGAUGUUGGCUUAGAAGCAGCCAUCAUUUAAAGAAAGCGUAAUAGCUCACUGGUCGAGUCGGCCUGCGCGGAAGAUGUAACGGGGCUAAACCAUGCACCGAAGCUGCGGCAGCGACACUAUGUGUUGUUGGGUAGGGGAGCGUUCUGUAAGCCUGCGAAGGUGUGCUGUGAGGCAUGCUGGAGGUAUCAGAAGUGCGAAUGCUGACAUAAGUAACGAUAAAGCGGGUGAAAAGCCCGCUCGCCGGAAGACCAAGGGUUCCUGUCCAACGUUAAUCGGGGCAGGGUGAGUCGACCCCUAAGACGAGGCCGAAAGGCGUAGUCGAUGGGAAACAGGUUAAUAUUCCUGUACUUGGUGUUACUGCGAAGGGGGGACGGAGAAGGCUAUGUUAGCCGGGCGACGGUUGUCCCGGUUUAAGCAUGUAGGCUGGUUGUCCAGGCAAAUCCGGAUAAUCAAGGCUGAGGUGUGAUGACGAGGCACUACGGUGCUGAAGUAACAAAUGCCCUGCUUCCAGGAAAAGCCUCUAAGCAU